rnacentral:rRNA from 1 species
GACGAACCGAGCGAACGUUGUUCGGAAUCACUGGGCUUAAAGGGCGCGUAGGCGGCCUGCCAAGUCAGGAGUGAAAUCUUUCGGCUCAACCGGAAAAGUGCUUUUGAUACUGGCGGGCUAGAGGGAGAUAGGGGCAUGUGGAACUUCCGGUGGAGCGGUGAAAUGCGUUGAUAUCGGAAGGAACGCCGGUGGCGAAAGCGGAUCUCUGGGCCGAUACUGACGCUGAGGAGCGAAAGCGUGGGGAGCGAACAGG